rnacentral:lncRNA from 1 species
ACAAUAUCAAAUAAACCAUGCCCAGCUCUAUCAAAUCUACAAGAGCUUUUCUACCACUAACAGAUACUACACACCCUCUAUAGACCUUCUUUACCACUACAGAGUCUCCUACCAGGGUAGAAACAAAAAAAGGGAAUUGAGUGACUCUCAAGACCAAAAACUAAGAUGCAUAGUCACAUAUAGGGUCACAUAACAAAGAGUAGAGACUAGGUCAAGAAAGUAAUACACAUCAUAUG